ACGCACGUGCGUGCCUCCCCGUCGCUUGGGAUAGCCCUCUUCCAUCUUGGGAACUCGCUGGUUGUCCGUUGAUGUGCGCACGCGGGAGUGAUGUACUAAGCGUACAUCACCGUUUUUACUUUUUAGCCAUUCAGUUCAUUGAUGGCGGCGAGCCGAUUAAUCCGAAAGUCUCAGUUUUUGUGCAGUGCAGCUACUCUGCUUGAAGUGCAGAGUUGUGCGACCUGCCGACCGGGUGUGCUGGUUUUGGGCGAUUAGUUUGCUCGGGUUGCAAUAUGAUUUGUGACUUCAAGCUGAAAAGGGCAGGUGAUUAAUUAUGCUGACUUCUGCACUUUUGUGAGGACAGAAAAACUCAACAGUCUAAAGAAUCAGCUCAGGGGACUCGAGGCAAGUCUGUCCACAUUUCAUGGAAGGGCUGAAGUCUCUUAUAAACUAUCUCUGCAGCCCAACUAAAGAAAGGAUCAGAAAGUAAGCUCACCGGCCAGUCAAUUUCGAGUGCCACUACAAUGAACGAUCAGCUCAGGAGCUUGGUCUUGGAUCAGACGGCUAGGGGAGAUGAGUUUGCAAGUGUCAUAUCACAUCAGCUUGAAGGAAAUUAGAAGUGCUUCAGUGGGGUUUAAAGACAAUAAGUCCAAAUAUCCCAGUCUUAAGGGUUGUUCUGAACUCCCAGGACGUGAAUUCAACAUGCCUUCAUACAUCUUCUUUUGAUGGCCGCCAUCGAAGCUGUUGAGGCUAAUAUUGACGCGAUGGGGAAAAACUACCUAGACAAAGCUAUUAUGUGUUUUCUUAGUUUUAAAGUUGUUGCAGAAGAAGGUAAUGAGAGGUUCAGUGACAUGGUCCAUUAAGUUAGCUUCAUACCUUCACGUGUGGCAUCUCCUCUUUUUUUAAAGGGGGUACCUUUGUCUUUAAUAAAAUUGACAUCAAAGUCCUGACAAUGGCUAUUCGUUUUGCAUAAAGAUCAUUAAAGAUGAGUACA